GACGAACGCUGGCGGCGUGCUUAACACAUGCAAGUCGAACGGUGACGGAGAGCUUGCUCUCCUGAUCAGUGGCGAACGGGUGAGUAACACGUGGGCAACCUGCCCAGACUUCGGGAUAACGCUUCGAAAGAGGUGCUAAUACCGGAUACGAGCUCCUUGGGCAUCCUUGGAGUUGGAAAGUUUUUCGGUCUGGGAUGGGCCCGCGGCCUAUCAGCUAGUUGGUGAGGUAACGGCUCACCAAGGCGACGACGGGUAGCCGGCCUGAGAGGGCGACCGGCCACACUGGGACUGAGACACGGCCCAGACUCCUACGGGAGGCAGCAGUGGGAAUAUUGCGCAAUGGGCGAAAGCCUGACGCAGCAACGCCGCGUGAGGGAUGACGGCCUUC
rnacentral:rRNA from 1 species